AUGAUUCUCAUCAUAUUAGAAUUAUAAUGUCAAUGUUGGCACCUUUGAAUGUGGAGCGGGCAGUGUGUGUCGCUGUCAUUGGUUGGAAAGAGGUGUAGACACGGGUUGUAUUCCAGUUACUGUAUAAUUGUUAUUGGCAUAUAUGACAAGAAUUGUAAUUAUUAUUAAGAUACAUAUAUUGUUUUCUUACUUAUUAACAAGUUUGGUAUUGGUUAGUAAUGUGUAUUUGUUUGUCAAGAGGAAGUUUUCUUUUAGGGUCUGUGUAUGUAACACGGAUAUAUAUUAUACCGCACUCAGGGUGUAGGGGGAAGGUAGGCAGAGGUACAGUUGGUGCCUGUCAGGGGUGAGUGGCGGUUGUUUGACUGAGGUGAGUUUUGUGAUAACAUUAUUUCUCUGAUUUGUUUGACUUAUGUUAUGCCGCUGAUUGUGCAUAUUGGUUGGUGUUAUAUUGAAUGUGGUGCUGAUAGGAGGAUUUGAUUAAGUGUAACUUUGCAGCAUAGUUGGGGUAAUGCUGUAAUCAGACAUAUGGUGAAGUCUGCCUUGGCUGAUGAUGGGCGGUCAUUUUGUGAGUACUAUUUUAUAUGUAUCGUGUGUCAUUGCAAUAGUGAAUAAUAGAAUGGGAUAUGUGUUCAUCUUAUGUUAUUCUUCUGUUUACUGGGUGAAGUUACAAGAUAUUGAAGGGAGUUACAUGAUAUUGAGGUAUGCUGUGUUUAUGUUGACAUUAAAUUUGCAGGCUGAAUCAAUCAAUAAAUCAAGAUACAGCAAGUCAGCCCAAUCAUAGUCAUUAUCCUACACUACAAUUCAGCAAAAUUCGCAGAGCAGCCAUGGAUGACUUGAAAAGGGAACGUGCUAAUGCCAAGAGGAGAUUCACCAGGAAGGUGGGACUCUUCAAGGAUGCACACAAGAGAGGAGACUCCACAGCAACCCUACAAGUAUUGUAUAGUGAAGUUUGUGAUUCUUUCAAAGUAGUGGAUGUGGUGAAUGAGAAAAUUAUUGACCUUUUAGAUGGUAGUUCAUCUUGCCAAGAGUAUGAAGACUAUAUCAUGGAAUUGGAAACUAUAAAGUGCACUCUUCUUGAGACAUUAAAAGAAAAACCUAAGGCUGUACUUGCCAUGAAAAAAAUUGAGCCUCCUAAAUUUGGUGGAUCUGUAAGGUCAUUUCCCUCAUUUAUUAGGGAUUAUACAAGACUGGUUGAAUCACAACAUGGUGAGGAUCCCUAUGUACUCAGAAUGUCACUAGAGGGGGAACCCAGGAGACUUGUAGAAGAUUUAAAUGAUUACAAAAGAAUGUGGGAGAGAUUGAAUGAAACAUAUGGUCCUAAAUUUGGUGGAUCUGUAAGGUCAUUUCCCUCAUUUAUUAGGGAUUAUACAAGACUGGUUGAAUCACAACAUGGUGAGGAUCCCUAUGUACUCAGAAUGUCACUAGAGGGGGAACCCAGGAGACUUGUAGAAGAUUUAAAUGAUUACAAAAGAAUGUGGGAGAGAUUGAAUGAAACAUAUGGUCAUGAAGGAAAGUUAAUUGAUUCAAUCUUGGGAGACAUUAGGUCAUAUAAGCCAAUAAGUGAAGGUGAUGAUAAACGGUUAAUCAAGCUAAUCAAUACUGUAGAAAAGGUAUGGUUAGAUGUAAGCAACUUGAACCUAACAAAGGAGUUGGAGAAUGUUACUGUCCUGACUCAAGUAGAAAAAUUGUUACCCUCUAUGUUGAAAAAGGAAUGGGCUAGUAAAGUACAACAAGUGAAGACUGACAAGUUUAAAGAGUUGGUUGCAUUCUUAACAGAGCAUCGAAAAGCUUUAGAAUACUUACAAGAUGAGUCAAGACUUGGUGCGUCAAAGGUAACGGUGCAUACCACUGAUGUAUCAAACACAAAAGAAAAUGACUUAUUAGAAGUCAUAAAACUGUUAGCUGUGGGACAAGAGAAACUACAAAACCAGAUGUCAGAGUGUUUAACUAAUAUAGCUCAAGUAGCAGAUGGAAGAUAUUGCAGUAGGAAUUACACAUCAAAAGUUAAUGGUGUUCAGAAGGAGAAGUAUUGUCUUGUUCAUGAUAGUGAAUCUCAUCACUUACAGGAUUGUAUGACAUUUAAGCAAUGGACAGCUGAAAAUCAAAUGGAUUUUUUAAAGCAAAAUAGAAUUUGUUUUGCAUGUCUCAAAAGAGGGCACCUAUCUAGGGAUUGUGAUAAGCAAAUGCCUUGUAGAGUAAAGGUAAAGGGAGACAUUUGUGGUAAGCACCACCAUUCAAUUUUGCACCCUAUAUUUAGCAGUCCUUAUACUUCUACAAUGGAUGUUAUGAGUAACCAUUUGACAAAGAAAGGUGCAUUUUUGAUGACUGGGUUUGUGGAUAGUGGAGGUGUUUCUGUUCCCACAUUAUAUGAUGCAGGAAGUAACAUCAGUCUGAUCACUUUUAGAAUGGCAAAGCAACUAGGACUCAAAGGUACUCCUAUACAGCUUUCAGUGACAAAGGUCGGUGACCACACAGAAGAAUUGGAUAGUUUUGUUUAUAAGAUGUCCUUGAGGGAUCAAACAGGGAAGGAAAAAUUUGUUGAAGUUUGUGGAAUUUCCGAAAUAACUGGUGCUCAUCAACAGGUGAAUUUAUCGGAAAUUGCUAAGAAAUUUGAAGUGCAAGAAAAGGAUAUCCAAAGGCCUGAAGGGCGUAUAGAACUACUAAUAGGAUCUGAUCACUGUACUUUAAUGCCACAAGUUAAAAAAACCAUAGAUAAUGUUCAGUUAAUGUCAAAUGAGUUUGGUUUCUGUAUCAGAGGUAGAUUGGAUGACAAAGGAAAGGGACAUAGCUAUUGCGUGCAAAUUAAUCACGUGAGUUGUAAUGACACCACAGAUUGGCAUUUCAGGACUAAACCUAAUGUGGGCAAGUUGAUAGAAAAUUAUUUUUUGAAUGAAAGCUUAGGAACAGAAUGCAAUCCUAAGUGUGGAGGCUGCAAAUGUGGAAAAUGCUCAACCAAGGGAAAUUUAACCAUUAAGGAAGAAAGAGAGAAGAAACUUAUUGAAGAUGGAUUAACUUAUGAUGCGAAACAUCAGUGCUGGAUAGCUAAGUAUCCUUGGAUUUAUGAUCCGGCUAAACUACCUGAUAAUUAUCCUAUGGCAUUUGCUAGAUUAAAGGCCACUGAACAGAGAUUAAUGAAGAUGGGGUCGACCCAGUGUGUAAAGUAUCAAGAACAAAUAAAAGACAUGUUGGAUAGAGGAGUAGCGGAGAAAUUAUCAAAGGAGGAGAAUGGAAGUUAGCGGAAGUUGUAGAAGGUAUACCAGGAAGGGAUGGAAAGAUCAGAGAUGUGUUGUUGAGGUAUAAAAUUAAUGAACCAGGAAAACAGUACAGGGGCCAACAUGACAAGCAAAUGGUAAGAUCAGUACAUAGACUGGUGGUGUUGCUCCCAGUCGAUCAACAAUAGAAGUAUAGAAGCCUUUGAUUUGUGGUGGGGGGAGUGUAAUAUGAUUCUCAUCAUAUUAGAAUUAUAAUGUCAAUGUUGGCACCUUUGAAUGUGGAGCGGGCAGUGUGUGUCGCUGUCAUUGGUUGGAAAGAGGUGUAGACACGGGUUGUAUUCCAGUUACUGUAUAAUUGUUAUUGGCAUAUAUGACAAGAAUUGUAAUUAUUAUUAAGAUACAUAUAUUGUUUUCUUACUUAUUAACAAGUUUGGUAUUGGUUAGUAAUGUGUAUUUGUUUGUCAAGAGGAAGUUUUCUUUUAGGGUCUGUGUAUGUAACACGGAUAUAUAUUAUACCGCACUCAGGGUGUAGGGGGAAGGUAGGCAGAGGUACAGUUGGUGCCUGUCAGGGGUGAGUGGCGGUUGUUUGACUGAGCAUAGUUGGGGUAAUGCUGUAAUCAGACAUAUGGUGAAGUCUGCCUUGGCUGAUGAUGGGCGGUCAUUUUGUGAGUACUAUUUUAUAUGUAUCGUGUGUCAUUGCAAUAGUGAAUAAUAGAAUGGGAUAUGUGUUCAUCUUAUGUUAUUCUUCUGUUUACUGGGUGAAGUUACAAGAUAUUGAAGGGAGUUACAUGAUAUUGAGGUAUGCUGUGUUUAUGUUGACAUUAAAUUUGCAGGCUGAAUCAAUCAAUAAAUCAAGAUACAGCAA